GUGACCUCAAAUCAGGUAGGACUACCCGCUGAACUUAAGCAUAUCAAUAAGCGGAGGAAAAGAAACUAACAAGGAUUCCCCUAGUAACUGCGAGUGAAGCGGGAAAAGCUCAAAUUUAAAAUCUGGUGGUCUUUUGGCUGCCCGAGUUGUAAUCUAGAGAAGUGUUAUCCGCGCUGGACCGUGUACAAGUCUCCUGGAAUGGAGCAUCAUAGAGGGUGAGAAUCCCGUCUUUGACAUGGACUCCCAGGGCUUUUGUGAUGCGCUCUCAAAGAGUCGAGUUGUUUGGGAAUGCAGCUCAAAAUGGGUGGUAAAUUCCAUCUAAAGCUAAAUAUUGGCGAGAGACCGAUAGCGAACAAGUACCGUGAGGGAAAGAUGAAAAGAACUUUGGAAAGAGAGUUAAACAGUGCGUGAAAUUGCUGAAAGGGAAACGCUUGAAGUCAGUCACGUUGUCCAGGGAUCAACCUUGCUUUUGCUUUGGUGCACUUUCUGGUUAACGGGUCAGCAUCAAUUUUGACCAUUGGAAAAAGAUUAGGGGAAUGUGACAUCUUCGGAUGUGUUUAUAGUCCUUGGUUGCAUACAAUGGUUGGGAUUGAGGAACUCAGCA
rnacentral:rRNA from 2 species